rnacentral:rRNA from 1 species
UACGGAGGGUGCGAGCGUUGUCCGGAAUCACUGGGCGUAAAGGGCGCGUAGGCGGCCUGAUAAGUAGGGGGUGAAAUCCUGCGGCUUAACCGCAGGGCUGCCUUCUAAACUGUCAGGCUAGAGCACAGUAGAGGCAGGUGGGAAUUCCCGGUGUAGCGGUGGAAUGCGUAGAGAUCGGGAAGAACAUCAGUGGCGAAGGCGGCCUGCUGGGCUGUUGCUGACGCUGAGGCGCGACAGCGUGGGGAGCAAACAGG